UACGAAGGGGGCUAGCGUUGUUCGGAAUUACUGGGCGUAAAGCGUGCGCAGGCGGUCUUCCAAGUCAGUGGUGAAAGCCCGGAGCUCAACUCCGGAACUGCCAUUGAAACUGUGAGACUCGAGUACGAGAGAGGUGAGUGGAAUUCCCAGUGUAGAGGUGAAAUUCGUAGAUAUUGGGAAGAACACCGGUGGCGAAGGCGGCUCACUGGCUCGUAACUGACGCUCAGGCACGACAGCGUGGGGAUCAAACAGG
rnacentral:rRNA from 1 species